rnacentral:rRNA from 1 species
UACGAAGGGGGCUAGCGUUGUUCGGAAUUACUGGGCGUAAAGGGCGCGUAGGCGGUCCUGAUCGUCGGAUGUGAAAGGCCUGGGCUCAACCUGGGAAUGGCAUCCGAUACGGCGGGACUGGAGUGUGGGAGAGGUUGGUGGGAUUCCCAGUGUAGAGGUGAAAUUCGUAGAUAUUGGGAAGAACACCGGUGGCGAAGGCGGCCAACUGGACCACAACUGACGCUGAGGCGCGAAAGCGUGGGGAGCAAACAGG